GACGAACGCUGGCGGCGUGCUUAACACAUGCGAGUCGAACGGAAAGGCCCCUUUGGGGGUACUCGAGUGGCGAACGGGUGAGUAACACGUGAGUAACCUGCCCUUGACUUCUGGAUAACUUCAGGAAACUGGGGCUAAUACCGGAUAGGAAUCCUUGCUGCAUGGUGGGGGUUGGAAAGCUUCGGCGGUUUUGGAUGGACUCGCGGCUUAUCAGCUUGUUGGUGGGGUAGUGGCUUACCAAGGCUUUGACGGGUAGCCGGCCUGAGAGGGCGACCGGCCACAUUGGGACUGAGAUACGGCCCAGACUCCUACGGGAGGCAGCAGUGGGGAAUAUUGCACAAUGGGCGGAAGCCUGAUGCAGCAACGCCGCGUGCGGGAUGACGGCCUUCGGGUUGUAAACCGCUUUCAGCAGGGGCGAAGCUUGUGGUGACGGUACCUGCAGAAGAAGCACCGGCUAACUACGUG
rnacentral:rRNA from 1 species